GAAAUCGCGUUGUAUCAAGCCCGUUUAGGGCUAUCCACCGGUUAAAUUUUGCCUAUCCACCGUGUAAACUUAUACGGUCUCUUGAGACCGUUUAAAUCGCUGUACGGCGGAUAAACUCGGAGUUUGAAGAUAAAACAAUGAUUAUUUCGGAUGAAAAAGCAUGGGAUAGUUAUAAAAAUGCACAAUCAUGUAGAGGAGUUAUCUUUUUAAAUCCAAUAAACAUGAAAAACUCACUUUUAACUGGCUUGGUCUUGAGGUACACUGAGGUCACUUGCUCACUUGUAAUUCCGUGGCUUUGCUAUAUUUACGCACACCAGUGUCAUGUUUAGAUGUUAAGUAUAUUAUAUACUCUGGCUUUUAAUUUUCUCCUUCUUUUCUUCUAUUACAUAGUUUGAAAACAAGCAGUAAGACUCCCAAUUUUAGCUAUUGUAAAACAAACAAUGACUUUGGAAAGCCAACAAGUAUACAAAAUAGACAACAAGACGCCGAAAGUCGAAAAAAAAUGUUCGCUCACGUCUAUGCUCACGUUAAUCGCUUUGAUCAGCCAAUCAAAACUUGGGACAAAAUGUUCUUAAAAUUGUUUUGAACAAAAGUGCAAGGUCGAGGAACAAAUUUCGAACAGUAUAAAACUGAAUCAACUGACAAAAGUCAAAUACAACUCACAGUUUUUGCUAUUGCCUUCGACUCUUCGCAUCAAGCCAAAAAUCUUUAAAGAAAUACCCCGUAAGUGAAUUUAAGUGAAUGGGAAACUCAGCAUAAUGUGAAAAUGAAAAGUUUGAUAUAGAUUUGCAGCAACGAAUGGACGAGCAAACUCCAAAUAAAAACAACAACAAACUUUAUUGCACAAGCUUAGUGGAAUUCACAAGUUAUAGAUAAAGCUUCAAAAGUUUACAAAGGCCUAGCAACAGCUGACGUAGAGGUAAGAAAUGUCAAGAAAAUCCGGUUUUCUCCGGUUAAAUUAAAGGUUAUCCUACGGAUAGUUAAACGCGGUACUAAAUGGGCUUCGUACAACGCAAUUUUAUCAGCCGUUUAACUAUCCGCUGGAUAAGAAAUUUAUACGCUGGAUAGCGGCUAAACACAGUUUAAGUUAAACGCCUUUGAUACAACCGGCCCC